UACGUAGGGGGCGAGCGUUGUCCGAAGUUACUGGGCGUAAAGGGCUCGUAGGCGGCCAACUAAGUCAGACGUGAAAUCCCCAGGCUCAACCUGGGAACUGCGUCUGAUACUGGAUGGCUUGAAUCCGGGAGAGGGGUGCAGAAUUCCAGGUGUAGCGGUGAAAUGCGUAGAUAUCUGGAGGAAUACCGGUGGCGAAGGCGGCAUCCUGGACCGGCAUUGACGCUGAGGAGCGAAAGCUAGGGGAGCAAACGGG
rnacentral:rRNA from 1 species